rnacentral:rRNA from 1 species
AACGAACGCUGGCGGCAUGCCUAACACAUGCAAGUCGAACGAGACCUUCGGGUCUAGUGGCGCACGGGUGCGUAACGCGUGGGAAUCUGCCCUUGGGUUCGGGAUAACAGUUGGAAACGACUGCUAAUACCGGAUGAUGACUUCGGUCCAAAGAUUUAUCGCCCAGGGAUGAGCCCGCGUCGGAUUAGCUAGUUGGUGAGGUAAGAGCUCACCAAGGCGACGAUCCGUAGCUGGUCUGAGAGGAUGAUCAGCCACACUGGGACUGAGACACGGCCCAGACUCCGACGGGAGGCAGCAGGGGGGAAUACUGGACAAUGGGCGAAAGCCUGAGCCAGCAAGGCCGCGGGAGUGAUGAAGGCCUUAGGGUUGUAAAGCUCUUUUACCCGGGAUGAUAAGGACAGUACCGGGAGAAGAAGCCCCGGCUAACUCCGU